rnacentral:rRNA from 1 species
AGCGAACGCUGGCGGCAGGCCUUAACACAUGCAAGUCGAACGCACCUUCGGGUGAGUGGCGGACGGGUGAGUAACACGUGGGAACGUACCUUUUGGUUCGGAAUGACGCAGGGAAACUUGUGCUAAUACCGAAUGUGCCCUUCGGGGGAAAGAUUUAUCGCCAUUAGAGCGGCCCGCGUUAGAUUAGCUAGUUGGUGAGG